CUGAAGUACAAGAAUUACACAUUUCCAUUUAACAAAUUUGCAACUUUUCUUUCUUUUAACACAUAAUACUUUUCAAAAAAAGAAAUUUUGUAUGAUGGCCAAUAAGACAACCCUCUAUCCUAAAAUCAAAUAUUGAUGAUGUUAGCAAUUAUAGGUACAUGUACAGCCUUCAACAUGACAUCUUGGUAAGUGCUUCAAAUUCUGAAUGUUUAGUGUUUCAGUGGCCUAGAACUCAGAUUUCACUAUGAUGGCGGAAAUUCUAGAAUGAAGGUUUCACUUUGACGACGGAAAACCAUUUUUAAUGAAUUAUUCAGAAAUACAACAAACUACCAUAUUUACCUUAAUAUUUACUGAAAAUGCAUUCAGCUGGAUUCACUACACGAUUACAAGCUAGGAAAAUCGGCCCAAAAUCUGACUGUCUAAUUUAUAAAUAUAUAUAUUCUACACAAUUCAUACACACUUCUAAAAAUAUCCCAAAUGAAGAAAAUACCUGAAAUUCAAUUCAACUAACUAUUGCUUUUUUCCUUUGACCAACUAGAGAGAGUAUAAAAAAGAAGAUGUGGUAUGAUUGCCAAUGAGACAACUGUCCACAAGAGACCAAAACCUAUCCAACAGUUUAGAC
rnacentral:lncRNA from 1 species